rnacentral:misc_RNA from 1 species
CAACAGCGGAACAGGAGAGCCCCACGCGAUGCUCUUUGCAUUUCUCGAGGCACUGUUCUGGGUGUACGCGGUGGCCAGCUGGUGCAUGUGCUUCUUCGUCUUCUUCUCCUGUGGAGAGGGAAUUCGCUGGUUCACAACAUUUCACAACUACCUCCUCAUCUUUGGUGCCACCAGCGGUGCCGCUAUGGCGCCCUUUCGCACGGUCCCGUCUGGCAGUCUGCUGACGGUGUUCAGCGGGUGGGCCUUUUACGCGAUGCUGGUGUCGGUGCACAGCAUGCGCUUCCGACUGUGGCGCGGCCAUGUUCUACCAGUCACUGCCCCGCUCCUGUUUAUGGUGGUGUGGGCGCAGUACCGCUAAUCCGUGGCGCGUUCAGCAAUGGCAGUGGCGUGCUGAGGCCGCGUUGCUACUGUUGUGUUCGUGUUGUUGUUGGCGUUGCUUCGUAUGCGCGUUUGACCGAAACGAUGGGUGUCGGUGUGGGUGUGACGCGGCCGGUGUUCACCGGUUUGCCUUUUUGCUUUCGCUUUG